CUAAAAAGAAGAACUGACCUCAGAUCAGCGGAGCCGCCAUUAAUCCACACAACAUAAUUUACACAGACACAAACACAGCAGUAUGAUUAUAUAAACGCGUAGAAAAUGUUUGUUUGUUCGAUAUGUUGGAUUAAUUCAAUAUUAUUUACCGUCGCCGAAUCGAUUGUCAGUCAGGCACAGCGGGAGGCAGCCAUUGAAGGACCCCGCCCCUCUCUGUGUUUACACUCUAAUAAUAAUCAUUCUGUUUUCUGAUUCUUUUAUUUCUUUCUGUCGAUAAACAUGCCCUUGUUCGAAGGCUUGGACAGCGGAGGAGAGAAGACAGCGGCCUACACGAAAUGUGGUUCUGCCGGCGAAACGGGGCGAGAUUCAUCAUUCCCAGAGAAAUCAAACACGCUGGAUCUCCGGAGGGACACUGAUAGAGUUAAAACAUUAACCUGAAGCUCUCUUGAAUGCGUGUGUCUCAUGUGUUUCGAGUCGUCCAGCACAACAUCAACACUGAGGAGUCUACAGCAUCCUGAAGGAGUUCGUUCACCUGCUCUACUUCCGGCAUCUGCUGGUGAAUCCUCGAGACCGGCGCGUGGUGAUCGUUGAGUCCAUCCUCUGUCCUUCACACGUCAGACAGACGCUCUCCAGAGUCUUCUUUUAGAAAUGAUUAUGCAGCUUGACCCCUCCAGCGAGCUGCAGCUUAUUUGUUAGUGUUAGUGCUGCAUUUUGGUUCAUAAUAAAUUAUCUUCAUAAAUCUGA